rnacentral:rRNA from 1 species
CCUACGGGGGGCAGCAGUGAGGAAUAUUGGUCAAUGGGCGCGAGCCUGAACCAGCCAAGUAGCGUGAGGGAAGACGGUCCUAUGGAUUGUAAACCUCUUUUGUCGGGGAGCAACAGACGCCACGCGUGGCGUUCCGAGUGUACCCGAAGAAUAAGCAUCGGCUAACUCCGUGCCAGCAGCCGCGGUAAUACGGAGGAUGCGAGCGUUAUCCGGAUUUAUUGGGUUAAAAGGGUUCUCAGGAGGAUGAUCAAGUCGGCGGUAAAAGUGAGAGGCUCAACCUCUUCGAGCCGUUGAAACUGGUUUUCCUGAGUGGGUGACAAGUAUGCGGAAUUCGUGGUGUAGCGGUGAAAUGCAUAGAUAUCACGCAGAACUCCGAUUGCGAAGGCAGCAUACCGGCGCUCAACUGACGCUGAUGCACGAAAGUGUGGGUAUCGAACAGGAUUAGAUACCCGAGUAGUC